rnacentral:misc_RNA from 1 species
AACGCACCUUGCGCUCUAUGGCAAUCCGUAGAGCAUGCCUGUUUGAGUGCCAUGAAAUCUCCCACCCCAAGCGGUUUUUACAUGAAACGGCUUGGCGGAUGGGGUCUGGAUGGGUGCCUCUGCCUGCGCUACCUAGCACAGGCUCGCCCGAAAUGCAUGAGAGCCUUGAGACACUUUGCAUCCGCCUCUUUGUUUGGGAGGCGGCGGCCAAGCAGUGUUUUUCUCCUGGCGUGGCAUAAUACGUGAUUUGAUAUGUGGCUUAAAGGAGGAAUGUUUGGUUGUGUAUGCGUGUGCUUCGAACUUGCCUCUGUGGCACAUCCCAAUUUCACUUCUUGUCUCAAAUCAGGUAGGAUCACCCGCUGAACUUA